rnacentral:piRNA from 1 species
UCACACCUCUCCUUAAAAUUG